UCUAUGGGGGAAAGAAUAUAGAACGGGUACCUUAUUUAACAGUUUCAUAUUCUUUUACCCUGGUAAAAGAAUAAAUAAUAUUAUUAAAUCUAUACAUACAAAUCGCUAAGCGGUGAUAGAUAAAUGCAUACUAUUUUCUAAAAAAAAAAAAAAAAAUACAAAAUAACUAUAUCAGUAUUGGCGGCAGACAAAACUCAAAUUAACUCUAAGAAAAUGAAAUAUCUCCCGCAAAACACAAACCUAAAGCCCAUAAUUAAUAAACUCAAAUCAAAAUGUUAUUACUAAAACUAAUAUACUCAUACCCUAGCCCACCUUCCCCAUUAGGCAUUAGCCGCCAACUCCUCCACUCCUCCGUCUAUCUCUCUGUUUUACCUAUGUGUUUCUCUUUCCCCAUUUCAUAAAUUACUAGUUUAAGAAAUUGUCAUUGUUCCAUUUCGAUUUCCACUCCAAUACUCCUCACACAUGAUUCUCAUUUCUCAGCAGAUUAAAUCAUUGAGAAAUGGAGAUCUGAUUGAAUUUUGGUUAUUUUUAUGUUCUCUUUAAUCGUCAGACUCGCCGCCGUCAUGAUUGCCGCUCCACCAUCAUAUCUCCGACUCCUGUCUUGUUGCUGCCCCAACUAACACCGUUUUUAAGGUUUAAGGUUUAAGUCUAAUGCAGAGCAGCGAGAUAAAGUUCAUAGUUCAUCGUUUUUUUUUCCAGUUGCAGUCAAGUGAAAGAGCUAGGAAAUAUUUGAAGAGGCGAAGAACUUAUAAAGAAUUAUAGUAUGGGAAGUGGGAACAUCAAUUUAUUCAUUUUUUGUUUUUAAUUUCAGUUGUAAAUUAGAGUUACUUCGUAAUAUGUAUGUUUGUGUAUUUGAACUUUAUUGUAAUAUUAACACAUAUAUACAAGAAGUUUUUGGAAA